rfam:Globodera pallida, Lindley, WGS project CBXT01000000 data, contig: pathogens_Gpal_scaffold_49_contig_33
GUCUAUGCACAAGCCGAUUAAUGGUGAAGCCGCGAAUGGCUCAUUACAACAGCCACUGUUUACUUGAUCUUGACUAUCCUACUUGGAUAACUGUGGUAAUUCUAGAGCUAAUACACGCAAUAAAGCUCCGACCUUACGGGACGAGCGCAUUUAUUAGACCAAAACCAAUACGGGCUUCGGCCUGAAACGUUGGUGACUCUGAAUAACNCAUGCCAUUUAAUUAUUAAGAUGUCGACCGGUUCGGCAACAGUGGAAAGAG